AAGAUUGCUCGCAUAUUGGCUGCCGACCAGUGAUCGAUUUCAUGGUGGAGGUGUUAUAUGCCUCUUUCACUUUCCAGAUUUUCGAACUGGUGGCUCUGUAUCAGAGGCACCUGCUUGACAUUCUUGACAAGGUAGCAAUAGAUGACUUAUUGGUGAUAUUAUCUGUUGCAAAUAUGUGUGACAAAGCUUGUGAGAGGUUGCGGAAAAAGUGUGCUGAUAUUGUAGUUAAGUCCGAUAUUGAUAUCAUAACUCUUGAAAA